rnacentral:rRNA from 1 species
AUUGAACGCUGGCGGCAUGCCUUACACAUGCAAGUCGAACGGUAACGCGGGGCAACCUGGCGACGAGUGGCGAACGGGUGAGUAAUGCAUCGGAACGUGCCCAGUAGUGGGGGAUAGCCCGGCGAAAGCCGGAUUAAUAUCGCAUACGACCUACGGGUGAAAGGGGGGGAUCGCAAGACCUCCCGCUAUUGGAGCGGCCGAUGUCAGAUUAGCUAGUUGGUGGGGUAAAAGCCUACCAAGGCGACGAUCUGUAGCUGAUCUGAGAGGACGACCAGCCACACUGGGACUGAGACACGGCCCAGACUCCUACGGGAGGCAGCAGUGGGGAAUUUUGGACAAUGGGCGAAAGCCUGAUCCAGCCAUGCCGCGUGCGGGAAGAAGGCCUUCGGGUUGUAAACCGCUUUUGUCAGGGAAGAAAUCUUCUGAGUUAAUACCUCGGGAGGAUGACGGUACCUGAAGAAUAAGCACCGGCUAACUACGUGCCAGCCGCCGCGGUAA